rnacentral:misc_RNA from 1 species
UGGACUACCAGGGUUUCUAAUCCUGUUCGCUCCCCACGCUUUCGCUCCUCAGCGUCAGUAUCGGCCCAGAGACCCGCCUUCGCCACCGGUGUUCCUCCUGAUAUCUGCGCAUUUCACCGCUACACCAGGAAUUCCAGUCUCCCCUGCCGAACUCCAGUGAUGCCCGUAUCGACCGCACGCCCACAGUUAAGCCACAGGUUUCACGAUCGACGCGACACACCGCCUACGAGCUCUUUACGCCCAAUAAUUCCGGACAACGCUCGCACCCUACGUGUUACCGCGGCUGCUGGCACGUAGUUGGCCGGUGCUUCUUAUCCAGGUACCGUCACGUUAGCUUCGUCCCUGGCGAAAGAGGUUUACAACCCGAAGGCCGUCAUCCCCCACGCGGCGUCGCUGCGUC